UUUCCCCUAUACUCCUGCCCCUGCAGAAGUCGCUCACCUAUUUUAUUUUGCCUUCUCCCUCAUGCUAUCCUUAAGUUGCGUUCUUGUCACGUGUCCUUUCCACUUGUUACUUCAAGCAGCCCAUAUUGCCACCACCAUCUCCUACGGCUAUUGUUUGGUUAUCGAGUCUGCCCUUGCGAGUCGUAGUGCAUGCUAGUGCUGUUUUAUCUCGUUAUCGUUAUCUUAUCGGGUUAUAUGUUGGGAAGAAUCAUGGUUACUUUAGUUGUUGAUAAUUGUUUAGCGGAGGCAUCGGUGGGUCAGCUGCUUGUUUUGUGACGGCUCACUUGUGUUUCCUAAAUAUCUUAGGACCCCGAGUUCUUGUUAUCUGUUCCGAGACUAAGCACUCUAACCACACGUGGGUAUGCUUACCGGGUCUCCCCUCGACCACUGCCGGAAUCUACAGCCUUGUCCAGUGGCCACAACUAGUUUGGAUGUUUGUUUUGUUUCUCUUGGGCGUGCAAGCAUGUUUCUUUGUGGUCAGAUGAUAUGAUGUUACUUUUGGGGAAGCCGUGAGUGCCUUGUAACCCCGUUGUCUCUUGCACGCUCGUAGGUGCGGUCCGCAUUGGUAAGAGGUCAUCCUCUAGUGGGCUCUGAUCCUCUUAGCCGUUCUCGCAACAGCUAGGUCCGCGUCGGAGUUUCGAUCGGGCUCCGAAAUGGGUUAACUUAGUUAGGUGGCUUCCUGGACAUUGUUGUCGUGAAGGAGAGUGCGUGUCGUGAUAUCCACCUGUCGUAAGUGGGUUGAUCGUGCGUGUGGGCACAUUUGGGCACCCCUGCAGGGUUACAAUCUUAUCGAUAAGCCGCGUCCGCGGUUAUGGACGACUUGGAGCUGUAUGACUCGAUCAUAGACAACUUACAUCUGUUGUUUCAAUCAUAAUUACUUGUGUAGUAAGUUAGCACAACUUCAAUAAUAAAUGGUUAAAACUUGACAACAGUGUGAGUGCCUUUGCCAGUACUUCUUUGCGAAGGGGGAACGUAUCGGCUGUGUUAUGUUUGCAGAGUGUAGAACUGUUAGUUUAUGCGCUCUCUCACCUUCUCUGUUUAGACGAAUAUUGUAGAGUGUCUCUAUAGGUUUUUAGUGCUUGCGCGCUGCCGCUUAACCCCACCAUAUUGCCUAUGACGUUCCUCUUGCGUCCUCUAAGUCCCCUGCGUGCCUCAAGUACAAAGGACGACUGGUUGACGAAUGCUUAUACGUCUUGAAGUCUUGUUAAGUACGAACCCAUACUUAUUGCUGCUUCUACGGGAUAUAACCGGGCAGGUAUGAAGAUAUGUUCGAUGAAGACGACGUUAGCAAGGUUACCCUUCCGGCUUGGCCUGGGCAGGGUUAUGGACGUCACUGGUUAUCUUCAGGACUCUUAGUCCAAUUUGUAUCUUGUCCGUACUCGGAAGCAUUCGAUCUUCUGUAUGAUUUGGAUCUUUGUAUUGUAUAUUUGUAUCUUGACUCGUUGGGGUCGUUGUUGUAAUAUAUGUAUCUUGUGGGCUCUAUUGUAAUCCUGUUGUAAUGUUACCGCUCGUGUUAAUUCCUCUGGCAUCACGUGUGUGA